rnacentral:rRNA from 1 species
UACGUAGGGGGCAAGCGUUGUCCGGAUUUAUUGGGCGUAAAGAGCGUGUAGGCGGCCAGGUAGGUCGGUUGUGAAAACUGGAGGCUCAACCUCCAGACGUCGACCGAAACCAUCUGGCUAGAGUCCGGAAGAGGAGAGUGGAAUUCCGUGGUGUAGCGGUGAAAUGCGCAGAUAUCAGGAAGAACACCCGUGGCGAAGGCGGCUCUCUGGGACGGUACUGACGCUGAGACGCGAAAGCGUGGGGAGCGAACAGG